GACGAACGCUGGCGGCGUGCUUAACACAUGCAAGUCGAACGGAAAGGCCCUGCUUUUGUGGGGUGCUCGAGUGGCGAACGGGUGAGUAACACGUGAGUAACCUGCCCUUGACUUUGGGAUAACUUCAGGAAACUGGGGCUAAUACCGGAUAGGAGCUCCUGCUGCAUGGUGGGGGUUGGAAAGUUUCGGCGGUUGGGGAUGGACUCGCGGCUUAUCAGCAUGUUGGUGGGGUAGUGGCUUACCAAGGCUUUGACGGGUAGCCGGCCUGAGAGGGUGACCGGCCACAUUGGGACUGAGAUACGGCCCAGACUCCUACGGGAGGCAGCAGUGGGGAAUAUUGCACAAUGGGCGGAAGCCUGAUGCAGCAAUGCCGCGUGCGGGAUGACGGCCUUCGGGUUGUAAACCGCUUUCGCCUGUGACGAAGCGUGAGUGACGGUAAUGGGUAAAGAAGCACCGGCUAACUACGUGCCAGCAGCCGCGGUGAUACGUAGGGUGCGAGCGUUGUCCGGAUUUAUUGGGCGUAAAGGGCUCGUAGGUGGUUGAUCGCGUCGGAAGUGUAAUCUUGGGGCUUAACCCUGAGCGUGCUUUCGAUACGGGUUGACUUGAGGAAGGUAGGGGAGAAUGGAAUUCCUGGUGGAGCGGUGGAAUGCGCAGAUAUCAGGAGGAACACCAGUGGCGAAGGCGGUUCUCUGGGCCUUUCCUGACGCUGAGGAGCGAAAGCGUGGGGAGCGAACAGGCUUAGAUACCCUGGUAGUCCACGCUGUAAACGGUGGGUACUAGGUGUGGGGUCCAUUCCACGGGUUCCGUGCCGUAGCUAACGCUUUAAGUACCCCGCCUGGGGAGUACGGCCGCAAGGCUAAAACUCAAAGGAAUUGACGGGGCCCCGCACAAGCGGCGGAGCAUGCGGAUUAAUUCGAUGCAACGCGUAGAACCUUACCUGGGUUUGACAUGGAUCGGGAGCGCUCAGAGAUGGGUGUGCCUCUUUUGGGGUCGGUUCACAGGUGGUGCAUGGCUGUCGUCAGCUCGUGUCGUGAGAUGUUGGGUUAAGUCCCGCAACGAGCGCAACCCUUGUUCACUGUUGCCAGCACGUUAUGGUGGGGACUCAGUGGAGACCGCCGGGGUCAACUCGGAGGAAGGUGGGGAUGACGUCAAGUCAUCAUGCCCCUUAUGUCCAGGGCUUCACGCAUGCUACAAUGGCUGGUACAGAGAGUGGCGAGCCUGUGAGGGUGAGCGAAUCUCGGAAAGCCGGUCUCAGUUCGGAUUGGGGCCUGCAACUCGACCUCAUGAAGUCGGAGUCGCUAGUAAUCGCAGAUCAGCAACGCUGCGGUGAAUACGUUCCCGGG
rnacentral:rRNA from 1 species